AUUGAACGCUGGCGGCAUGCUUUACACAUGCAAGUCGAACGGUAACAGGCCGCAAGGUGCUGACGAGUGGCGAACGGGUGAGUAAUGCAUCGGAACGUGCCCAGUCGUGGGGGAUAACGCAGCGAAAGCUGCGCUAAUACCGCAUACGAUCUCUGGAUGAAAGCGGGGGACCGAAAGGCCUCGCACGAUUGGAGAGGCCGAUGUCAGAUUAGGUAGUUGGUGGGGUAAAGGCCCACCAAGCCAACGAUCUGUAGCUGGUCUGAGAGGACGACCAGCCACACUGGGACUGAGACACGGCCCAGGCUCCUACGGGAGGCAGCAGUGGGGAAUUUUGGACAAUGGGCGCAAGCCUGAUCCAGCAAUGCCGCGUGCAGGAAGAAGGCCUUCGGGUUGUAAACUGCUUUUGUACGGAACGAAACGGUUCGGGUUAAUACCCUGGGCUAAUGACGGUACCGUAGGAAUAAGCACCGACUAACUACGUGCCAGCCGCCGCAGUAAAAC
rnacentral:rRNA from 1 species